AUUGGACGCUGGCGGCAGGCCUAACACAUGCAAGUCGAGCGGGGUUUUCGGACCUAGCGGCGGACGGGUGAGUAAUGCGUAGGAAGCUACCCGAUAGAGGGGGAUACCAGUUGGAAACGACUGUUAAUACCGCAUAAUGUCUACGGACCAAAGUGUGGGACCCUCGGGCCACAUGCUAUCGGAUGCGCCUCCGUGGGAUUAGCUAGUUGGUGAGGUAAUGGCUCACCAAGGCGACGAUCUCUAGCUGGUUUGAGAGGAUGAUCAGCCACACUGGAACUGAGACACGGUCCAGACUCCUACGGGAGGCAGCAGUGGGGAAUAUUGGACAAUGGGCGCAAGCCUGAUCCAGCCAUGCCGCGUGUGUGAAGAAGGCCUUCGGGUUGUAAAGCACUUUCAGCGAGGAGGAAGGGGUUGUAGUUAAUAGCUGCAACCUUUGACGUUACUCGCAGAAGAAGCACCGGCUAACUCUGUGCCAGCCGCCGCGGUAACAC
rnacentral:rRNA from 1 species